rnacentral:rRNA from 1 species
UACAGAGGGGGCAAGCGUUGUUCGGAAUUACUGGGCGUAAAGGGCGCGUAGGUGGCCUUCUAAGUUGAACGUGAAAUCCCUGGGCUCAACCCAGGAACUGCGUCCGAUACUGGUUGGCUUGAAUCCGGGAGAGGGAUGUGGAAUUCCAGGUGUAGCGGUGAAAUGCGUAGAUAUCUGGAGGAACACCGGUGGCGAAGGCGGCGUCCUGGACCAACACUGACACUGAGGAGCGAAAGCCAGGGGAGCAAACGGG